rnacentral:rRNA from 1 species
UGAGGAAUCUUGCGCAAUGGGGGAAACCCUGACGCAGCAACGCCGCGUGAGUGAAGAAGGCCUUCGGGUCGUAAAGCUCUGUCGGGUGGGAAGAAAUGUAUGCAGGUGAAUAUCCUGUAUAUUUGACGGUACCGCCAAAGGAAGCACCGGCUAACUCCGUGCCAGCAGCCGCGGUAAUACGGGGGGUGCAAGCGUUGUUCGGAAUUAUUGGGCGUAAAGAGCGUGUAGGCGGCGUGAUAAGUCAGAUGUGAAAGCCCUGGGCUUAACCCAGGAAGUGCAUUUGAAACUGUCUUGCUUGAGUACGGGAGAGGGAAGAGGAAUUCCUGGUGUAGAGGUGAAAUUCGUAGAUAUCAGGAGGAACACCGGUGGCGAAGGCGACUUCCUGGCCCGAUACUGACGCUGAGACGCGAGAGCGUGGGGAGCAAACA